AGUAUAAUCAUGAUUAUAGUUUAUUGGUGCUAAACAAAUAAAUGUUUCACAAGUCAAAACAGUACAAUAUGAUAACCUAAUUAAUUCUGACCGACAAAUUAACAAAAAAUUAUUUCACACUGAUCCAGAUUAUAACUGAUACAUUCAUAAAAGUAUUUAAAUAUAAAAGGUCACAAAUAUUGGGCGUUACCCUCCUUGGUUCUUUUAUCCGCUGCCGCAUCUGCCGCUCCCCCGUUCUGGAUUAAUUUUCUUUAUUAUUAUUAUUAUUAUUAUUAUUAGUAUUAUUAUCAUUAUUGUUUGUUUCCUUUUGAUUUAUUUGAUAUAAAUUGAUUAAUUUUAAGGGUUAUUUCGUCUGUACCAACAGAUUAACGGGUUUUCUAAUCGAGAAUUAAUCCUUUUUGUCAACAUUUUAAUUAGUUUUAUAACUGUAUUUUAUAAUUUUAUAUAUGGGAUGGGCAUUUGAAUUUGAAUUCAAUGUCACCUAAUGGCAUAUCCCAAAAUUUUAUUAUAUUAUUGAAGCACGA